rnacentral:rRNA from 1 species
AGAGUUUGAUCAUGGCUCAGGAUGAACGCUAGCGGCAGGCUUAAUACAUGCAAGUCGAGGGGCAGCACAGGUAGCAAUACUGGGUGGCGACCGGCAAACGGGUGCGGAACACGUACGCAACCUUCCUUUAAGUGAGGAAUAGCCCAGGGAAACUUGGAUUAAUACCUCGUAAGAUUGUGGAUUGGCAUCAAUCAGCAAUUAUAGCUCCGGCGCUUAAAGAUGGGCGUGCGCCUGAUUAGGUAGUUGGCGGGGUAAUGGCCCACCAAGCCUACGAUCAGUAACUGGUGUGAGAGCACGACCAGUCACACGGGCACUGAGACACGGGCCCGACUCCUACGGGAGGCAGCAGUAAGGAAUAUUGGGCAAUGGACGCAAGUCUGACCCAGCCAUGCCGCGUGGAGGAUGAAGGUCCUCUGGAUUGUAAACUUCUUUUAUUUGGGAAGAAAUGCAAAUUUUCUAAUUUGUUUGACGGUACCAGAUGAAUAAGCACCGGCUAACUCCGUGCCAGCAGCCGCGGUAAUACGGAGGGUGCAAGCGUUAUCCGGAUUCACUGGGUUUAAAGGGUGCGUAGGCGGGUUGGUAAGUCCGUGGUGAAAUCUCCGAGCUUAACUCGGAAACUGCCGUGGAUACUAUCAAUCUUGAAUAUCGUUGAGGUAAGCGGAAUAUGUCAUGUAGCGGUGAAAUGCUUAGAUAUGACAUAGAACACCAAUUGCGAAGGCAGCUUACUGAACGGUCAUUGACGCUGAGGCACGAAAGCGUGGGGAGCAAACAGGAUUAGAUACCCUAGUAGUCC